ACCUUCUUGGGUGCCCACACUCUCUCCU
rnacentral:piRNA from 1 species